rnacentral:sRNA from 2 species
CGGGGUCUGCCCUUCCCGUGCAGAGGUCAAAUUCCGGUGGCCUUAAGCAAAUCCGAGGGAGCUGGCUCUGUCCGGAUCCUGGUCCGGUUACCCGGCGCCCACCUGUAGUAACAGGUCCUCGGGAAUUGCAAUGCCUCCACGUUUGCGGUGGUCCCGCC